rnacentral:rRNA from 1 species
AACGAACGCUGGCGGCAGGCUUCAUACAUGCAAGUCGAACGGUUAAAGCUCCUUCGGGAGUGUAUAAAGUGGCGAACGGGUUAGUAACAGGUGGAUAAUCUGCCUUUCAGAGGGGGAUAACGGCUGGAAACGGCCGCUAAUACCGCAUACGAUUGUCGGGUCUUCGGGCCGGACAAGGAAAGGGGCUUUUGCCCCGCUGAAAGAUGAGUCCGCCCCCCAUUAGCUUGUUGGUGUGAUAAAAGCGCACCAAGGCGACGAUGGGUAGCCGGACUGAGAGGUUGGCCGGCAACACUGGAACUGAGACACGGUCCAGACACCUACGGGUGGCAGCAGUAGGGAAUAUUGCGCAAUGGGCGAAAGCUUGACGCAGCCAUGCCGCGUGGAUGAUGAAGGCCUUCGGGUCGUAAAGUCCUUUUAUUGGGGAAGAACAAGGCCGGGAAGAAAAUGCCCGGCCCCUGACGGUACCCAAUGAAUAAGCAACGGCUAACUCCGUG